rnacentral:rRNA from 1 species
CCCUUAGAUGUCCUGGGCUGCACGCGUGCUACACUGAUGUGUCCAGUAAGCACCUAACCUCUUCCGAAAGGAACGGGUAACCUUUGCAAAGCACAUCGUGAUGGGGAUAGAUUAUUGCAAUUAUUAGUCUUGAACGAGGAAUUCCUAGUAAGCACAAGUCAUCAGCUUGUGUUGAUUACGUCCCUGCCCUUUGUACACACCGCCCGUCGCUCCUACCGAUUGAAUGUUCCGGUGAGCUCUUCGGACUGCGCGGUCUGCAGUUUCUGCGUUCCGUGCGGAAAGUUGCGCAAACCUUAACAUUUAGAGGAAGGAGAAGUCGUGACA